UUCCGGUUGAUCCUGCCGGACCCGACUGCUAUCAGAGUGGGACUAAGCCAUGCGAGUCAACGCCGCAAGGCGUGGCAUACGGCUCAGUAACACGUAGUCAACAUGCCCAAGGGACGUGGAUAACCUCGGGAAACUGAGGAUAAACCGCGAUAGGCCAAGAUUUCUGGAAUGGAUCAUGGCUGAAAUCUACAUGGCCCUUGGAUUGGACUGCGGCCGAUCAGGCUGUUGGUGAGGUAAUGGCCCACCAAACCUAUAACCGGUACGGGCUUUGAGAGAAGGAGCCCGGAGAUGGGCACUGAGACAAGGGCCCAGGCCCUAUGGGGCGCAGCAGGCGCGAAACCUCUGCAAUAGGCGAAAGCUUGACAGGGUUACUCUGAGUGAUUUCCGUUAAGGAGAUCUUUUGGCACCUCUAAAAAUGGUGCAGAAUAAGGGGUGGGCAAGUCUGGUGUCAGCCGCCGCGGUAAUACCAGCACCUCAAGUGGUCAGGAGGAUUAUUGGGCCUAAAGCAUCCGUAGCCGGCUCUGCAAGUUUUCGGUUAAAUCCACUUGCUCAACAAAUGGGCUGCCGAAAAUACUACAUAGCUAGGGAGUGGGAGAGGUAGACGGUAUUCGGUAGGAAGGGGUAAAAUCCUUUGAUCUAUUGAGGACCACCUAUGGCGAAGGCAGUCUACCAGAACACGUUCGACGGUGAGGGAUGAAAGCUGGGGGAGCAAACCGGAUUAGAUACCCGGGUAGUCCCAGCUGUAAACGAUGCAAACUCGGUGAUGCAUUGGCUUAUGGCCAAUGCAGUGCCGCAGGGAAGCCGUUAAGUUUGCCGCCUGGGAAGUACGGUCGCAAGUAUGAAACUUAAAGGAAUUGGCGGGGGAGCACCACAAGGGGUGAAGCCUGCGGUUCAAUUGGAUUCAACGCCGGA
rnacentral:rRNA from 1 species